rnacentral:rRNA from 1 species
UGCAGUCGAGCGGACAGAAGGGAGCUUGCUCCCGGAUGUUAGCGGCGGACGGGUGAGUAACACGUGGGUAACCUGCCUGUAAGACUGGGAUAACUCCGGGAAACCGGAGCUAAUACCGGAUAGUUCCUUGAACCGCAUGGUUCAAGGAUGAAAGACGGUUUCGGCUGUCACUUACAGAUGGACCCGCGGCGCAUUAGCUAGUUGGUGGGGUAAUGGCUCACCAAGGCGACGAUGCGUAGCCGACCUGAGAGGGUGAUCGGCCACACUGGGACUGAGACACGGCCCAGACUCCUACGGGAGGCAGCAGUAGGGAAUCUUCCGCAAUGGACGAAAGUCUGACGGAGCAACGCCGCGUGAGUGAUGAAGGUUUUCGGAUCGUAAAGCUCUGUUGUUAGGGAAGAACAAGUGCGAGAGUAACUGCUCGCACCUUGACGGUACCUAACCAGAAAGCCACGGCUAACUACGUGCCAGCAGCCGCGGUAAUACGUAGGUGGCAAGCGUUGUCCGGAAUUAUUGGGCGUAAAGGGCUCGCAGGCGGUUUCUUAAGUCUGAUGUGAAAGCCCCCGGCUCAACCGGGGAGGGUCAUUGGAAACUGGGAAACUUGAGUGCAGAAGAGGAGAGUGGAAUUCCACGUGUAGCGGUGAAAUGCGUAGAGAUGUGGAGGAACACCAGUGGCGAAGGCGACUCUCUGGUCUGUAACUGACGCUGAGGAGCGAAAGCGUGGGGAGCGAACAGGAUUAGAUACCCUGGUAGUCCACGCCGUAAACGAUGAGUGCUAAGUGUUAGGGGGUUUCCGCCCCUUAGUGCUGCAGCUAACGCAUUAAGCACUCCGCCUGGGGAGUACGGUCGCAAGACUGAAACUCAAAGGAAUUGACGGGGGCCCGCACAAGCGGUGGAGCAUGUGGUUUAAUUCGAAGCAACGCGAAGAACCUUACCAGGUCUUGACAUCCUCUGACAACCCUAGAGAUAGGGCUUUCCCUUCGGGGACAAAAUGACAGGUGGUGCAUGGUUGUCGUCAACUCCUGUCCUGAGAAGUUUGGGUUAAUUCCCCCACCAAGGCCACCCCUUGAUCUUAUUUGCCGCCAUUUAAUU